UGGGGAAUAUUGGACAAUGGGCGCAAGCCUGAUCCAGCCAUGCCGCGUGAGUGAUGAAGGCCCUAGGGUUGUAAAGCUCUUUCACCGGUGAAGAUAAUGACGGUAACCGGAGAAGAAGCCCCGGCUAACUUCGUGCCAGCAGCCGCGGUAAUACGAAGGGGGCUAGCGUUGUUCGGAUUUACUGGGCGUAAAGCGCACGCAGGCGGACUUUUAAGUCAGGGGUGAAAUCCCGGGGCUCAACCCCGGAACUGCCUUUGAUACUGGAAGUCUUGAGUAUGGUAGAGGUGAGUGGAAUUCCGAGUGUAGAGGUGAAAUUCGUAGAUAUUCGGAGGAACACCAGUGGCGAAGGCGGCUCACUGGACCAUUACUGACGCUGAGGUGCGAAAGCGUGGGGAGCAAACAGG
rnacentral:rRNA from 1 species